UUUAUUGGAAGACCAUAAUCAUUCUGACGUGCAAAUCGAUGAUUUAAGAUGUGUAUAGUGGCGAAAGACCAAUCGAACUGUGUGGUAGCUGGUUCACAGCGAAAUGUCUCUCAGGACAGCAGUCAUUAUUUUUUUAUAUAGGACAUAGAUGUAGGACACUGUUAUAAUAUUUAUAUUAUGAGAAAUCUUUAAUUCUAUGGAAUUUUAUAAAUUAAUUUUAUAAAAUAGUAUCUAUUAUUUUAUGACUAGUGGGCACAUGAUUGUAAGAAUGAUGUGCAAAAAGGGAUGAACCUUAUGAAACAUUAAAUAUUCUAAAUAGUAGAUAUUAUACCAUAAAUAUGAUGAAUACAUUGAGACAGUGGGGCGGUUGUUAUGGAAGUAGAAAUCCGCUAAGAAACGUGUUACAACGUACCUACCGAAUGUAUUAUUGUAUAAAAUGGAAGAAGAUUACUACUUUUAUGAGAUGUUUCUGUUGUAUUUAUUUAUCAGGUAGCUGUGCAAUUUGUUUGUAUUGAAGUAUAUAUGUGAAUA
rnacentral:ncRNA from 1 species